ACCUGCCCUCAAGACGGGGACAACCGGUGGAAACAGCGGCUAAUACCCGAUAUGCUCACACUGAUCGGGAGAUCGAUUGAGGAACGGCUUCGGUGCUUGAGGAGGGAUCUGCGGCCCAUCACCUAGUUGGUGAGGUAACGGCUCACCAACGCGACGACGGGUAGGGGGUGUGAGAGCAUGGCCCCCCACAAUGGGACUGAGACACGGUCCAUACUCCUACCGGAGGCAGCAGCGGGGAAUAUUGCGCAAUGGACGGACGUCACACGCAGCGACUCCGCGUGGGUGAGGAACGCCUUCGGGUAGUAAAGCCCUUUUCACGGGAGCGAGACAGGACGGUACCCCUGGAAUACGCGUCGGCUAACUACGUGCCAGCAGCCGCGGUACGACGUAGGACGCAAGCGUUAUCCGGAUUUACUGGGCGUAAAGCGCCUGUACGCGGUCAAGUAAGUCGGAUGUGAAAGCCCCGUGCUCAACGCGGGGAAGCCAUUCGAUACUGCGUGACUAGAGAACGGCAGAGGGAAACGGAAUUUCUGGUGUAGCGGUAAAAUGCGCAGAGAUCAGAAAGAACACCGAUGGCGAAGGCAGUUUCCUAUGCCGCAUCUGACGCUGAGAGGCGAAAGCUAGGGGAGCAAACAGGAUUAGAGACCCUGGUAGUCCUAGCUGUAAACGAUGGAUGCUAGGUGUGGGCCGGAAAGGUCCGUGCCGUAGUUAACGCGAUAAGCAUCCCGCCUGGGGAGUACGGCCGCAAGGCUAAAACUCAAACGAAUUGACGGGGACCCGCACAAGCAGCGGAGCGUGUGGUUUAAUUCGAUGCUACACGCAGAACCUUACCUGGGCUUGACAUGUAGGUGGUAGUGAAGUGAAAACGGAGCGACCCUUCGGGGAGCAUACACAGGUGCUGCAUGGCUGUCGUCAGCUCGUGCCGUGAUGGUGUCGGGUUAAGUCCCGUAACGAGAGCAACCCUUGUCCCUAGUUACAAGUGUCUAAGGAGACUGCCGGUGACAAACCGGAGCAAGGUGGGGAUGACGUCAAGUCAGCAUGGCCUUUAUGUCCAGGCGACACACACGCUACAAUGAUCGGUACAAUGGGCAGCGCAGCCGCGAGAUGAAGCGAAUCCCAACAAAGCCGAUCCCAGUUCGGAU
rnacentral:rRNA from 1 species